CCCGCUUACAACAAGCAUGGUUUUCCCUUCGCGAAAGCGGAGAGAAAUGAAAAGGGAAUGCGACGGGACGGACCCAAUCCGGGCGUUUCAAUCGCAGCCGACCCCGCGACUGUAGAGCGGUCAGGGACAUGCAUCGGCGGACGCAUUUUGUCCUGACGGUUCGCGAUGGUGCGGGCCCCAGGGCGGACGGGGCAUCCAUCGAAAAGCCACUGGAAAUGGCGCUGCAAUCAACCGGGCUGGACGCCUCCUUAUCUACGAAUCGUCCGCCUUUUGCCAGCGUCAUCCGGGAAGGCGAGCAUGUCCCGCCGGCAUUUUUGCCGAGCACCGCGAGCCAGGAGACCUGCCGUGCCGGUCGGGACGCC
rnacentral:ncRNA from 2 species